rnacentral:rRNA from 1 species
AGAGUUUGAUUAUGGCUCAGGAUGAACGCUAGCUACAGGCUUAACACAUGCAAGUCGAGGGGUAGCAGGGUAGCAAUACCGCUGACGACCGGCGCACGGGUGAGUAACACGUAUCCAACCUUCCCAUAACUCAGGGAUAGCCUUUCGAAAGAAAGAUUAAUACCUGAUAGUACUUUUUCAAGGCAUCUUGAGAAGUUAAAGAUUUAUUGGUUAUGGAUGGGGAUGCGUUCCAUUAGAUAGUUGGUGAGGUAACGGCUCACCAAGUCUUCGAUGGAUAGGGGUUCUGAGAGGAAGGUCCCCCACAUUGGUACUGAGACACGGACCAAACUCCUACGGGAGGCAGCAGUGAGGAAUAUUGGUCAAUGGGCGAGAGCCUGAACCAGCCAAGUAGCGUGAAGGAUGAAGGUCCUAUGGAUUGUAAACUUCUUUUAUAGUAGAAUAAAGUGAUCCACGUGUGGAUUUUUGUAUGUAUACUAUGAAUAAGGAUCGGCUAACUCCGUGCCAGCAGCCGC